rnacentral:rRNA from 1 species
CCUACGGGAGGCAGCAGUGGGGAAUAUUGCGCAAUGGGCGAAAGCCUGACGCAGCGACGCCGCGUGAGGGAUGAAGGUCUUCGGAUCGUAAACCUCUGUCAGCAGGGAAGAACGGUCACUGUGCUAAUCCGCAGUGAAUUGACGGUACCUGCAAAGGAAGCACCGGCUAACUACGGGCCAGCAGCCGCGGUAAUACGUAGGGGGCAAGCGUUAUCCGGAUUUACUGGGUGUAAAGGGAGCGUGGACGGCAGUGCAAGUCUGGAGGGAAAGGCGGGGGCUCAACCCCCGGACUGCACUGGAAACUGUACGGCUGGAGUGCAGGAGAGGUAAGUGGAAUGCGUGGUGUAGCGGUGAAAUGCGUAGAUAUUAGGAGGAACACCAGUGGCGAAGGCGGCUUACUGGACUGUAACUGACGUUGAGGCUCGAAAGCGUGGGGAGCAAACAGGAUUAGAUACCCGAGUAGUC